ACAUUUUAGAUCUCUUGGCUUGAGAAGCAAGUAUCUUCUGAGUUACAUGGUCCUUCAGAACUGUUUUCCCAACCCUCCUCAAGUUUGGAAAUGUGAAGUAAAGAGCUGGUGAUCAUUUCUGCAGCUAUGCGUGUGUGGCUCCAGGGCUGCUGGAUCUACAGAAGCAUGAAGUCUGGGGAUUUGCCUGCAGUGCUGACCUUCGCACCAGCCUGCGGAUGGCACGGUGAUUCACAGGGAGUGUGCCAAGCCAGCGGCUGCCUCCCUGCUACUUGCUCACUGCUUUCCUCUGGUGUGACCAGAGGGAGUUGAGGUUGCUCCAAAGACAUAACCAGAAUUCCCUUGUAGAGCAGCUCACCUCAUUAACUGCACCAGGAAAUACUGAGCAACGUCAGCAAAAAGAUUUGUGAGUGAGAUGACAUCUUUAUGCAUUGGUGAGAUCUUGUGCUCAGCACUUGCUUACUUCACCUGGAUUCUAGGCUUGUGCCCAAGGCUGAGAAACAAACUUAAACUUUCUUCAGCUUGCCUAUUCAUGAGUGCCUUGUGUCAGCAAAACGUGCCUCAUCAUGUGGCUACCGGAUGUUUUCUCCACCUCCUGCACCACUUCCAAGGAUCCCACUCUGACCCACUUCCCCAACAACAAACAGAAGUCCACUUUUGUUGUUAGAGUUGUCUUUGCAUCACUGGUAACAAACAGUCUGUAGGAGAUAUUGGAACAAUUCCCUGCUUAUUGAUAGUGUCUGAUGAUGGGCUUCAAAUGUGGAUGAUCUGGGUACUUUGAAAUUAAAAUUGAACAGCAGAAGUGAAGAAAAGAUGCUGAAGGAAAAAGUUGGCACCCCUCUUAAUCAGAGCUGUCCAAGCUGUGGCCUGUAGGAUGUCUUCUGUCUGGUUUCUGCCUGUAUGUUAUCUGGCCCAUAGCUGGGCUGUUAUAAUACUUACUGCUUUCAUAUUGUGAAAGCCUGGACUGUCCUUCUGUAAGUGACUUAUCCCAAAUCUGUGGCAAGUGGGAGUCUUUCACUAGACAAUUCAAGUGAAAUACAUGCAUCCUGGAAGAUUUAGAAGAUGAAGGGAAAAUCGGUCUCCUCCUUUCUCAUCACCCUUUUCAAUUACAUUUUUUUGUUUAUCAGUUUUUAGUUUGGGCAAGGGAUUCCUCUUAUCCCGCUUUCUCUUGUGCUCUUGAGGCUUGAACAGCCCUUUAUUAUUGCAAGAAGCUCCUGUUUACCUCUUUUCACCUGUGUGCUGGUUUCUGGCCCUUGUUCUUCUCUUGUUGACUCCCCGAGGGUACACAGAUGGUAGCCUGGAAGCCAAAAGGAAUGAUACUGGAGGAGUGAGAGAGUGAGAGGAAAAAAAGUGAAAGAGGAAAAAAAAAGUAAGAAAAAAAAAAAAAA